ACCGGCGCCUCAAGUGGUAGUCGCUUUUAUUGGGCCUAAAACGUCCGUAGCCGGUUUGGUACAUUCGUGGGUAAAUCAACUCGCUCAACGAGUUGAAUUCUGCGAGGACGGCCAGACUUGGGACCGGGAGAGGUGUGGGGUACUCUCAGGGUAGGGGUAAAAUCCUGUCAUCCUGAGAGGACCACCUGUUGCGAAGGCGCCACACUAGAACGGAUCCGACGGUCAGGGACGAAGCCUAGGGGCACGAACCGG
rnacentral:rRNA from 1 species